AUGACGAAGCACCAGAGAGCACCGGCGGACCAGCUCGUGUCCCUCUCCCUCUCGCUCUCCCUCGGCGCCGUCGCCGACCGCAACAGCAAGAGGACGCGCCGCGCCGCCGCCGCCGGUGGGGAGUUCAUGUGCAAGACGUGCGAUCGCUCCUUCCCGACGUUCCAGGCGCUCGGCGGGCACCGGACCAGCCAUCUCCGCGGCCGCCACGGGCUCGCGCUCGCUCUCGCCGGGACCGGGCCGGAGCCCAGGAAGGCCACGGACCAGAAGCAGGGGCGCCAGCGCCACGUCUGCGGGCAAGGGUUCGAGAUGGGCCAGGCGCUCGGCGGCCACAUGCGCCGGCACCGGGAGCAGGAGGCCGCCGCCACCGCGGUGGCGCAGGCGCCGCCCGUUCUUCUCGAGCUGUUCGUCUAG
rnacentral:rRNA from 1 species